rnacentral:rRNA from 1 species
GACGUACGCUGGCGGCGUGCUUAACACAUGCAAGUCGAACGGAAAGGCCCUGCUUUUGUGGGGUGCUCGAGUGGCGAACGGGUGAGUAACACGUGAGUAACCUGCCCUUGACUUUGGGAUAACUUCAGGAAACUGGGGCUAAUACCGGAUAGGAGCUCUUGCUGCAUGGUGGGGGUUGGAAAGUUUCGGCGGUUGGGGAUGGACUCGCGGCUUAUCAGCUUGUUGGUGGGGUAGUGGCUUACCAAGGCUUUGACGGGUAGCCGGCCUGAGAGGGUGACCGGCCACAUUGGGACUGAGAUACGGCCCAGACUCCUACGGGAGGCAGCAGUGGGGAAUAUUGCACAAUGGGCGGAAGCCUGAUGCAGCAACGCCGCGUGCGGGAUGACGGCCUUCGGGUUGUAAACCGCUUUCGCCUGUGACGAAGCGUGAGUGACGGUAAUGGGUAAAGAAGCACCGGCUAACUACGUG